UUUCAGUUGAGGACUCUAAUGAGACUGCCAACGACAAGUUGGAGAAGUGGGGAUGACGUCAAUCAUCAUGCCCUUUAUGACCUGGGCUACAAACGUACUACAAUGGCCAAUACAAAGAGAUGCGAAGCGGUGACGUGAAGCGAACCUCAGAAAGUUGGUCUCAGUUCAGAUUGUAGGCUGCAACCCGCCUGCAUGAAGAUGGAGUUGCUAGUAACCGCAGGUCAGCUAUACUGCGGUGAAUACGUUCCCGGGGCUU
rnacentral:rRNA from 1 species